UGAGGAAUAUUGGUCAAUGGGCGAGAGCCUGAACCAGCCAAGUAGCGUGCAGGAUGACGGCCCUAUGGGUUGUAAACUGCUUUUAUGUGGGGAUAAAGUGCGUGACGUGUCAUGCAUUGCAGGUACCACAUGAAUAAGGACCGGCUAAUUCCGUGCCAGCAGCCGCGGUAAUACGGAAGGUCCGGGCGUUAUCCGGAUUUAUUGGGUUUAAAGGGAGCGUAGGCUGUCUAUUAAGCGUGUUGUGAAAUUUAUCGGCUCAACCGGUGGCUUGCAGCGCGAACUGGUCGACUUGAGUAUGCAGGAAGUAGGCGGAAUUCAUGGUGUAGCGGUGAAAUGCUUAGAUAUCAUGACGAACUCCGAUUGCGCAGGCAGCUUACUGUAGCAUAACUGACGCUGAUGCUCGAAAGUGCGGGUAUCAAACAGG
rnacentral:rRNA from 1 species